GCCGCUGUAGCUCAGUUGGUAGAGCAACGCAUUCGUAAUGCGUAGGUCGGGUGUUCGAGUCACCUCAGCGGCACCA
rnacentral:tRNA from 3 species